ACAAUAUUGGGCCGGUUUACGCUCUUUCCUCUUGGCCUUUUCUCUCUAUUUCCCCCUUCCAUCCGAGUUGUAGAGUUGAGAGGUUUCUUUUUCCCACAUACUGAAUUCUUAGUUCUCCGGUACUGCCAUCACCACCAUAACCACCAGAAUCUAUGCGUUCAUCUACUUCUACUUCUCCUUCUCCUUCUCGAGCAGCAACAGUGAUUCAAAGUGAACCACGCAUCAUCUUCUCAUAUUUGAGGCUUGAGCAAGUCCUUGCAACAUCUUCAUCAUCUUUUGUUGAUUUCAGUUGGCCAUGAAGGGAUUUGGUAGAUUGGUUAACCUGUGGGCAAUGGCAUUCGAUAUGCAGAAAAAAGUCAGCUUACUAGGGUUUACUGUGCCUUCAUUAGCUCCUUACACAUGCUACUAGAGGCCUAUUGUUUGCAUACAACUAAGUUUGACUAUUCUGUAGCUUCUAAUUGUUUGUAUUGUAGGAAGAAACAUGCCUGUAAAUGGGAGAAUGAAUUGUUGUUAGUAUGAGGCGGCUUUAUGUGGUCUUUGAAAAUUGAGAAGCUUUUGACUAUUCUGUAGCAUCUCAUAAUUUUAUUGCAGGAAGAAACAUGCUUGAAAAUGGGAGAACAAUUGUUCUUAGUAUGAGGCUGUUGUCUUUGAAAAUGUGUAGAAGUUGAUACUCAUCUUCUUUACAUCGUAAGCUGUCUCUUCCAUGCACCACGCCUCUCAAAAUCAAUCUUUAAGUGACUAUUUUAACUUCUCUCUUCCCAAAAUAGGAGAAGUUUAGCAUGCGGCGGUGAUCACAAGAUAAAAUCAUUAAUAACCUGUUUAGCUAAUUUAUAUACCGUAGGUUGUAAAUCCGACAAGUUAAAGCAAACAACAUUAUCAAAUCUGACCCUGUUCUGUAGUGAACUAUGAUAGGUUUUGGAUCUUAUGUUUAAAUUAUUUGUCGAGUGAACCAACACUUUCUUCUGUUGUCAAAGUUGAAAUGUUGAUCGGCUUAUGCAUAUACUUUACCUAGAAAUUAAGAACAAAACUAAAGCUUAGAGAUAUUUUUUUAUAUAGGUUUCAUGUAAUGCAGGGUGCAUAAUUAUGACAACCAUUACAUAUAGCUCAACUAGCUUUUGCUAUAAACUCUUGGUUGCGAAUCUGUGUUAUAUAAAACCUAAUAUUCUCUUUCCAUUUUUUUUUCCAUCGGAUUCUCUUUCUACCUCUGCGAUCCCUUUUCCUCUCUUCACACAUACCCUAGACCUUUGCUUUCCUCUUUGGUUUGUAUUUGAUUGUUUGAUUUUUAUUUUGAUUUUGUAGGUCAAAAGAGACGAAUUCGAAAAACGAGUGUUUCAUCAGAUUUGAUUUAUGUCAUCUGCAUCUAAUUGUGUUUUUACUUUUUAAUGAUUUCGUCAGUUUUUAUCUCUGUCCGUUUUGAUUCUUCUUAUUUGAUUUUCUAUUCUUUUACUCCGAAUUCAGGAUAUUCUUAUUUGAAAUGCUUUUUCACCCAUUGUUUCUCACUGUUUUGAACUGAACAGCAGGCAAACCGAUCGUCUCCAACGAUUGUUUUCUUUGUUAAUGAUUUUUUUUCUUUAUUUUGAUUUUCUAGGUAAUGAAAGACUGAUUUGAAGAAUGGGUGGUAUCCUUCUAUACAAUCUUUUCGUAGAAGCUAUCCUUUCGUAUAUUUAGUUUGGGUAGUGUUUUAUCUGUUUCGGGUUAACAGGAUUGGUCAUUUUUUUACUCAUGUUUGUAUUAGUUGUGUGUUUAAAUGUUCAGAGUUCAGGUGUGUGAUUCAAAUCGUAUAAGUGGAGGACACAUUUUUUAAUAUUAAUGUUCAAAGUUCAGGUGUCAUACCGUAGACGAUAGUAUGGAACUAUGAUACUUCCUCUCAAAUUAAUUCGGUUGAAAGUAGUUUUUCUGUUUUUUUCAUUCAUGUUCGUGUAGAUGUGUCUGUUCUAACGAACGUUGGAUAUUUUAAGAGGCAGGUAUGAAUAUUUUGGGAUGCUUUAUUGUUUGACCUAGAUCUUUUCCCUUUUAAAUGAAUCUUCUGAACAAUCAUGUUGAUCUGCUUAUAUUAUAAUAUGCUUUUCCUAUAUUUUUGUCAGUUAUCUUUGUGACUCUUAGCACUGAUCCCCAUAUAUGUAAACUUUUACGCCAAUUGGUAAAUCCUUGCAGUACUAGCAGACCAAUUUUCCAUUAACAUACUCAUCUCUGAGAAAUGUUGUUCAUUGGGUGUACUUUAAUAGAUUGGCCCUCAGCUCUGUACCAUUUUAAAGUUUUGUAACAAAUUAUAUUUGGACACAGGUCCAGUGAAGUCCCCUUAGCUAUUGAGCUUCUGUCUAUAGUGUUUAAAAAAGAAGGGUGUCUAGGAAUAGGGCAAAGGAAAAUAUUUCCAUCAUAGGUUACUGCUCUUCUUUAAAAAAAAAUUCGUAAACUUAACUGACAAAUAUGUGGUCUUCUUCACAUGAUGAGCUUGCUGCUGUCUGAUUUUUGCUAACAGAUGCUUAAAUGGUAAGAGUAAUUUGGAACCGAUAAAUUUUGUAUUUAUGAUUAAUUGGCAUUUUUAUAAACCGGUAACAAUUUAUUGGAAUAUUGAUUCUCAGUGUACUGGAUUGGGUACUCAAGGUAUUCUCCGUAAUAGGCUAAUACAACUAUGGUUUUCAUGGUUUGGAGAUGCUAUCUGCAACAACCCGGAUAGGUAGUGCUGCACCGUUGUUUUAGUAAUAACUAGGUGUGAAAAAGAUAAUCCAACGUGGUCAGAUAUUCAGACAUGAUAGAAUGAAUAUAACCCUUAUGACUGAACAAAGGGACCCUGAACAAAACCUUGAAAAGUUUUUAAUCCACUCUUAGCACUCCCUCACCUUCUGUAGUUCAGCUUUGGAGACCUGAAGCCGAGUAAACCUCAUAUACCAGUGGUCAAGAUUGGUUCCUCUCAAGCAGGAAUAGAUGUUCUGCAUCUCCAAGCAGGAUAUUUGAUGCAACAAACUUAUCUUUUCUCAGAGGUAAAUUACUAGCAAUUAAGCUGCAUGUGGUGAUAGAUAUGCAUAAUUUUCGAGAAACUGCUUGCAUGAAGUUCGCUCAGCAGCAUGUUAUUUUAUGUCCUUCCACGGGUCUAUUGCUCCAGAAUAUGGAUUGAUUGGUUAGGUUUUUGUUCCUUAACUCUCUUAUCAAUCUAUUAUUAUAACAUAUCUGGAACUUAGAUGGAGGUUUUGUAAUUUUUAGUUAGCGAAACCAUUUGAUGGAAAUGGAAAUAAAUGAGCGAUAAUUCGAUUCCCCUAUCAAUAGUAGUUGCUUAAGUAGUCAUCUGUUCAAACAUAUUGUUUGAUAAUGAUUUUAUAUUACUUGCAAUUACACUGCUCAUGAGGUGCAUGGAAUGUCAAUCAAGGAUGUGAACCAGGUGUAUCCUACAUGUUUGAUAACACUUCUUAAAUCAGCUAACUGCAUUGUCCACAAUACUUAUUUCAUUGCCCGACUUGCGCUCUUCAAAGAAAAGUACUUCUUGAACUAUUGUUAAAAGGCCAUCUAAAGGUAAAAUACGUUGAUGCACAUGUGCAUCUAUUUCUUUACUUUCACAAAACAUUCUUCAUGAAAUCUGAACUCUACCAGGGAUCCUCAGCUGCAAGAAAGUAGAUCAAUUUAUCAUUUAUAUAUUUACAGUUGCAUCAUAUACAUGAUCGCAAAGUUUUUCCAUCUCAGUUCCAUAUGUAGUAGAUGUGUAUUCUAUGUGGCUGGACCUUCUGGGAAUCCCCCAUGAUUUAUGUGCACGAGUAUGAAUCUGUGGCGCAAUGGUAGAGCGUCUGAUUCCAUGUCAGAAGGUUGCGUGUUCGAAUCACGCCAGGUUGUUUUAGUUCCUAUGGUCUUACACCUUUAGGUUGAACAUACAAGUUAGUGAUGAAUAUAUUGCAGUUUUAUAUUUUAGCUUUCGUGAACGUAUACUUUCUUUGUUUGUGGGUAUCUUACAAAUUCAAACAAUUAGUUUCCUAAACACUCAGUGCAUCAAUAGCUUCAUUGACACCAUCGAUAUUCCUAUUUGGGAUCCGACCAAUUAACUCACCGAUGCAUAUGAAUGAAUCCAACAUGCUAAAAUUACAUGAUUUGGGAUUGUGGGUAGGUAAAUUGAGUUUUUUGAAAGGGAAUCAAGAAUCAAUAGUUGGUGUUAUCACCACCACCGCCAGACCUAUUUCGGUGGGAUGUAAGUAAUCCAUAACUGUCUCCUUCUUUAUUCCCUUUCGAUGCUUCUAAAUUACUAGCAGUUAUCAUUCCCUACAGACUUGAUGGCAUUGUCAUAAAGCUCUACUUUCUUAUAAGUUACAAGCAACAACAAGUCGCUACUCUACGGAGAGGGAACGGGAAGAAAAGAGCUGAGAAAGCCAGAGUUGGUCAGUUUCCGCUUCUUUUCUUUGUUAAGCCAAUAUUCACUUCAGAGGAGGACAUGUAUGAGACUGGAGAAUUUCAAUCUAAUUCAUUUUUAAUCGGGAAAGUAGAUUUGUCUAUCCAGGACCCAAAAAUACUUGCUAAAUAUAUACGAUCUUCAUUAGCAGCUUCAGUUGUGCAUAUUCUGAAACAACAUCUUCAAUCGUCAUUGUAUACUUCAACGUAUUUUAGUAAUCAAAGUAUCAAACUCAUAUCUAACGGUUUAGUCGCUAAGAAUCUCAAAUACUUGAAAUGUUGAACCAGAAGGGUGUCAUGAAACAUGGGUUACUAUUGAGUUUGGAUAUACGUCGGAUUUUAAGUAUGGAGAUUUUCAUUUUGAAACUGAAGAUGUUCGUACUUCGCAGUGAAGCUGUUGAUGAGGUUUUCUUUUUAGAAACUUAAGAUAUUUAUUGUCGGAACCUGACGAGAUUUUUAUACUUUUUUCCUUUAUUGACAUUUUUUGUGACAUCAAAAUUUCCCUUUGCUUAUCUUUUUGUUUGUCACUUCGGGAGCAGUAGUACAUGCAAGAAUAGAAUCCCAACAUGACUGCACUAAUAUGUCAUAUUUUUCCA